rnacentral:rRNA from 1 species
CGCCCGGUUCCAUUCCGAACCCGGAAGCUAAGGCCCACAGCGCCGAUGGUACUGCAGCCGGGAGGUUGUGGGAGAGUAGGUCGCCGCCGGA